rnacentral:rRNA from 1 species
UUAAAUCAGUUAUCGUUUAUUUGAUAGUACCUUACUACUUGGAUAACCGUGGUAAUUCUAGAGCUAAUACAUGCUAAAAAUCCCGACUUCGGAAGGGAUGUAUUUAUUAGAUUAAAAACCAAUGCCCUUCGGGGCUCACUGGUGAUUCAUGAUAACUUCUCGAAUCGCAUGGCCUUGCGCCGGCGAUGGUUCAUUCAAAUUUCUGCCCUAUCAACUUUCGACGGCUGGGUCUUGGCCAGCCAUGGUGACAACGGGUAACGGAGGGUUAGGGCUCGACCCCGGAGAAGGAGCCUGAGAGACGGCUACUACAUCCAAGGAAGGCAGCAGGCGCGCAAAUUACCCAAUCCCGACACGGGGAGGUAGUGACGAUAAAUACUGAUACAGGGCUCUUUUGGGUCUUGUAAUUGGAAUGAGUACAAUUUAAAUCCCUUAACGAGGAACAAUUGGAGGGCAAGUCUGGUGCCAGCAGCCGCGGUAAUUCCAGCUCCAAUAGCGUAUAUUAAAGUUGUUGCAGUUAAAAAGCUCGUAGUUGAACCUUGGGCCUGGCUGGCCGGUCCGCCUCACCGCGUGCACUGGUCCGGCCGGGCCUUUCCCUCUGGGGAGCCGCAUGCCCUUCACUGGGCGUGUCGGGGAACCAGGACUUUUACUUUGAAAAAAUUAGAGUGUUCAAAGCAGGCCUAUGCUCGAAUACAUUAGCAUGGAAUAAUAAAAUAGGACGUGCGGUUCUAUUUUGUUGGUUUCUAGGACCGCCGUAAUGAUUAAUAGGGACAGUCGGGGGCAUCAGUAUUCAAUUGUCAGAGGUGAAAUUCUUGGAUUUAUUGAAGACUAACUACUGCGAAAGCAUUUGCCAAGGAUGUUUUCAUUAAUCAGGAACGAAAGUUAGGGGAUCGAAGACGAUCAGAUACCGUCGUAGUCUUAACCAUAAACUAUGCCGACUAGGGAUCGGACGAUGUUAUUUUUUGACUCGUUCGGCACCUUAC